GAUGAACGCUGGCGGCGUGCCUAAUACAUGCAAGUCGAGCGAACAGAUGAGGAGCUUGCUCCUCUGACGUUAGCGGCGGACGGGUGAGUAACACGUGGAUAACCUACCUAUAAGACUGGGAUAACUUCGGGAAACCGGAGCUAAUACCGGAUAAUCUAUUGAACCGUAUGGUUCAAUAGUGAAAGACGGUUUUGCUGUCUCUUAUAGAUGGAUCCGCGCCGCAUUAGCUAGUUGGUACGGUAACGGCUUACCAAGGCGACGAUGCGUAGCCGACCGGAGAGGGUGGUAGGCCACACGAGAACUGGGACACGGUCCAGACUCCUACGGGAGGCAGCAGUAGGGAAUCUGCCGCAAUAGGCGAAAGCCUGACGGAGCAACGCCGCGUGAGUGAUGAAGGUCUUCGGAUCGUAAAACUCUGUUAUUAGGGAAGAACAAAUGUGUAAGUAACUAUGCACGUCGUGACGGUACCUAAUCAGAAAGCAACGGCUAACUACGUG
rnacentral:rRNA from 1 species